GCGUCAGUAGUGUAACGGAUUGACCACGCGCUUCCGAAAAAAGUGAGGUGCGGGUUCUAGUCCUGCCUGGCGCU